GCAGUGGUAGUUCAGUGGGAGAGUUCUUGCUUUCCGUGCAGGAGACCUGGGUUUGAAUCCCGGCCAACACG
rnacentral:tRNA from 1 species